GACGAACGCUGGCGGCGUGCUUAACACAUGCAAGUCGAACGGAAAGGCCCUGCUUUUGUGGGGUGCUCGAGUGGCGAACGGGUGAGUAACACGUGAGUAACCUGCCCUUGACUUUGGGAUAACUUCAGGAAACUGGGGCUAAUACCGGAUAGGAGCUCCUGCUGCAUGGUGGGGGUUGGAAAGUUUCGGCGGUGGGGGAUGGACUCGCGGCUUAUCAGCUUGUUGGUGGGGUAGUGGCGUGCCAAGGCUUUGACGGGUAGCCGGCCUGAGAGGGUGACCGGGGAGGUGGGGAGUGGGGUGCGGCGGAGAGUGGAAGGGGAGGGAGCAGUGGGGGAUAGUGAGCAGUGGGCGGAGGCCUGAUGCAGCAGCGCGGCGUGGGGGGUGACGGAGGUGGGGGUGUAAACGGUGUUGGCGUGGGGGGAGGCGUGGGUGAGGGUAAUGGGUAAAGAAGCACCGGCUAACUACGUG
rnacentral:rRNA from 1 species